rnacentral:rRNA from 1 species
AUGGAAGGUGUGGCGGGGAUGCUGAAGGGGUUGCGGUUGUCGGAGGAAGAGAGGAAGGGCGUUAAGAUCUGGUACUCAGCCAAGGAGAAGGGAAAGGAAUCAGAGGUGAAGGCGGUAGGCAAAGUUAUGUCUGAGAAGCUGGCACACCCGGAUGCGAUAUGCCUGUCUCUGGGCAAGGUCUGGUGCCCGAUUAAGGGGAUCGGGUGUAAGGAGAUUGGGGUGAACCAGUUCCUCUUCACCUUCUACCAGGAGGCCGGGAAACAUAAGGCUAUUGAGGAUGGGCCAUGUAUGUUCGACAAGGAGUUGGUGGUGGUGGAGGAUUAUGUGGCAACAAAGAGGCCGGAGUAUUAUGUGUUCAACAACAUUCCGAUCUGGGUUAGGGUUUAUAAUCUACCCCUCGGUAUGAUGAAUGAGGAAUCUGCAGAGGACAUUGGGAAUAUUGUGGGGCAAUUCGUGGAAGCGGAUACUGGUGUGGAUGGGAAUGCCAUUGGCAGAUUUAUGCAUGUCAAGAUCAGGAUGAAUAUUGAUAAACCCAUCAAGAGAGGGUUCACUUUAGAGGAAGAGGACAUAGAGAAAGCGGAAGGGAAAGAUUCUGGAAGGACUGCCAUGGUGAGUGGAGAGGAGGAGGACGGAGGUGACUGGUGUCGUUUUGAAUAUGAGUUCCUCCCGGAUUUCUGCUACACGUGUGGUGUUAUCGGCCAUGGGGAGAAGGAUUGUGCUACCAAGCUAAAGAAAGGAGAGAAACCUCAGUUUGGCAGGUGGCUACGGGCUAAUCUAGGGCAACGUAGAAGCUUGUCAGAGGAUAGGCACUGGAGGAGUGGCAGUGGGCGACCGGGGGGCGCUAGGGAUUAUGGAUUUAGCCGAUCAAGUGGGCGAUCUAGCAAUGGAAGCGACAGUUUGUCAUGGAGGAAAAGUGACUCCCGGUCUGAUCAAAGGAGGGCGGAAGGGAAUGAUAAAGGAGAAGAGGUUACGAGCCCAGCUAUAAAGAUUGAUGCCCCAUCCAGGAGAUCAGGCAUGCCCAAGAAACUUGUGUUGAGUGCUGGGAUCGCUAAUGCCACUGUCGGGCCUGUACUAAAAGAGAGUGGCUCAAUUGUUGCUCAAGCCAUGUUGGGCAAGAAGGAUCAGGAUGACAGAGUAGACCACAAAGGAAAGGGUGAUGUCGCUGGGGAGGGCACGAAUACCAGCAAACACUCAGGAAGAAGACGCUACAGAAAGAAAGGGAGGGAUAGAGAUGGUGUGGAGGAUGAGAAGGCAAGGGAGGCAUGGGAGGAAGUGUUAGGUCAGAAGCAUGGAAGAGUGGACGAGGAGGAAGUAGAGUAG